rnacentral:lncRNA from 1 species
UCCUCUCCUCACGCGUGGCCGUGGCCGUGGGAAUACAUCAGCGGCCACAAACAGCGGCCGCCGCAUCUCACGAGGGGUGGGUGAUGGCGCCAUCGAUCGGAAUGGGAAGGGGGGACGGACGAUGGUUGUGCCGCGCGGGCGAUCGAUCGCAGCCGAGGAGAUGAGACGGCCGAUCCAUCGAGGUGGACGCAGCCGAGGAGAUGAGACGGCCGAGAACGAUGGAUGAGAUCCUCGAUCGGCCGUCUCAUCCCAUCCAUCCUUCUAAUUCCCUAGGUUUGGAUCUUCUUAUCGUUCCCCUUCUCUCAUGGUGUUUUUGGUUGGAGCUUUCGCCGAUUCGCAAAAUUUGGUUGGGAUCCCCCUGUUUUUUCCGGUCGUGGAAGGUUGCUGACAGCCAAACCUCGCACUACACUAGUACAGGAACAGAACAAAACAAGACCAAAUCCAUGUUUUUUGGUUCCUACUCGUAGCAUUUGGUUACAGAAUCCGGCCGGCGGCCAAAUCAUCCGUUUGGUCUCAAACCCUGCCAGCUAGGCUUUCGCGGUAUUCAGCCAAAUCUUUCUUUUGGUCUCAUACGCACGCACACUUCCAGCGCGCCCAUACAGAAAAUUACACUUCCAGCGACCAGCGCUCCCAUCCAGAAAAUUACACUUGCAGCGCUCCUAUCCAAAAAAUUACACUUCCAGCGCAGUUUUCCAUCUUACAAAAAGAUCAGGUGUUUUGCACCGCCAAAUCUUUCGUUUGGUUUCUUACGCGCAGUUUACCAACCAGUGUUUUGCACCGUCAAAAAAUACCCAGUGCUCUCGUCAGUUCCAUGCAUGCUACUGAAUUUCCCAAAAACGUUGCUUCCAUCCUCCUCCUUGCUUGCAAUCUCCUUGCCCUGCCUCCACCACCACCAGUCUCCUUGCUUCCUGCAAAAUAUGUCAAACCAAUGCAUGUAAAGCAGAUCGCCCGAGAAAUUCAUCUAGAGUAUUUAUAACCAUAUAAGCUUUAUGAUUGAUUGAUUUAUAAAAUUUUGGAACAAAGGACACCCCAGAUUGGGUUAAACAUAAGGUUGUGGUCUCACUUGACUUUGCAAAGCCUAGACCGAGCCAUGUCAAGUGCAUCAUAAUCUCCUAGUACUAGCUAGUUACUUGGGCAGAGUUUACAGCAGCAGGCACGACUAGCUCACUGGACCAAAAGGUGCCCUGCUCACAAGUCACAGCAUGAUGCCUGGCUGACCGCCUGAUUCUACUCUCUGGACAUACCACCACUGCUUCAAAUGCCAAGAGCAUUUAUUGAUAAUGUACUAGGUCAGGACAUUUGACAUGGAGGCACUGAACUCUUUGUCCCUGCUAAUGAUUUGAGAUAUAUUCAUGCAGCAACAAUUUAUUCACCAUGCUACAAAGUACUCCUACAAACCAGUUUCCAUUGUCUGCAUUGCAUGGUAUGGCCAUGGACCUAUAUAUGGUCAGACUACACAAGACUAAAACUUAGCAAUUUCUGCUGUGAACACCAACUGGCCAUGGACCUAUGGGGAGACUGUAGGAAGCCAAUGUUUGACCCAACAGACCAGCUCUACUCUGGUCACAUACGCCUUUCAGAAACCACAUGGUGUGGUAUGAGCUAAGUAGCACACAACACAAGACCAUGUAAGCAUGUCGUAGCAGCACAAUGAAAAAUAAAAACAUGCAUGACGAGAGAAAGGAGUUUAAAUCUAAACAGGAAAGACAACAUACAUGGUUGGCCCACGGUGUUGUAGAUCAACGUCCAGGCAUCAGGGCACCACUGCUCGAACUUGCGCAAAACAGCACUUUGGCUACCCCCAAGGUGCGUCUGCAGUUAACCAAAUGGUUAAUCAAUAUUAACACCUUGUUUGGCAUGCAAGCUAGAUGGAGAAUUAGUUACCUUAAUGUAGCGAGGGUACGUGGAGAAAUGCUUCCAUAGGUUCCUCACGAGCCUGACAAGAUCAUUUGGAUAGUCAAUAUCACAGUUCCAUAUGUAUUCCCUGAUCUUGUUGGCCGCAGCUCUACCCUCGGCUCCUUGAAGUUUCAGCUCCGCCUUCCUUUUGUUGUUCUCUAUGUUCGCUCUUUCCAUCAUUUCUUUUAAUGUUUUCAGCUCCUGACACAUGUCAUCUUCAGACUCAUUUCUUGGCCAUCUUAUUCCACAAGCAUUAAGAGCCGCACUACAAUCUCGAGUUGAUGAGAAUAUGUCAAUGAGAUACUUGCUCUUGUCUUCAUCAUUCCACUCAAUGGGAUAAAACUUGGCAAGUUUUGCCAAAUUUUUGCCAAUGCAGUCAGGACCAUGUUUCUCAAUGAAAUCACAGUACGCCCUGGUCCCUGUGUGCAUUUGUAUCAAAACGUCGGCUGCAAUAAUUUUCUUUAUCUCCGCACAUAGUUUCACAUAUAGUUUUUCCGUAUACGUUUGAGCCUUACCCCUGAGAUCCUCAACUGCGAAUUAGGGGAGUUGGUGAAUCAGACAGAUGUGGCCAGGAGCGAUAAAUUAAAUUAGACAAUAACAAGUUGAUAUUAAGAAACACUCUUAGCGGAUAAUUUUGUAUGCAACCUAUAAAAAAACAUAAAGGUCGCAUAUGUUAAUGUUGAAGUUUUAAAAUUUUGGGUGCACAUACUUGUAUCCAUCAUCUACAUGCAAGAUUAAUUUUCCUAUAUUUCCGGAACUUAAAAAUGUCUUACUUUUCCAAAAAGAAAAUCCUAUCUGAUUCAGAUGGUCCUACGAACAUAUGCACAUUUUCGUGUAAGCAAAUAUGCAACAUUAUAUCUAAAUUAAAAUAUGCUUAUAAAUAACCUCCACAAAACAAAAUUUUGCACAACAUAACCCAAUAUUUUUUCAUUUGUAGAAUAAAAUUAUAGUGUUUGUAUAGAUUUUAGAGACGCACUAUCUUAGGAGAGUGCAAAAAAGAAAUUACCAUCAUCGAAGAAUACUUUAAGUUGAGGUUGACCAUUCACAGUCUUCAGAUAUAGGUUGUCAACUGUAAGGUCUUUCGGACACAUCUUACGUCUAAUCAUCUUGUCCAAGAUAUCAAGUAGAUCUCUGUGAAACAGUAUCUCAGUUAGUGUGCAGUGGAAGUAAAAACAUUAUAUUAGUUAUUGUGCAGUGGAAAUAAAAUAUUAGUACAAACUAGCAGAUCGCCGGUGCGUUACUCCGAAAUUUCUUCGUUCUUGCAUGCAUUGUCUAAAUGAUUGUGUCGUUGGUACUUAUUUUUUUCUCAAAAAGAAUAAUCCCAAAUUUUGGGCAAAAGAGAAUAUAUUCCAAAAUAUAGGAUCAAUUAAUCAUAAGAUUGUGAUAUAUAUGUCUAUUAUAUAGGUUGGAUAGUGAUCACAAUAAUUACCAGUGAUUUAAAGCAUAAUAAAAGGUGAUUAUAUACAUGUGUAACGUGGUCCAUUCUACAACCACCCCUUGAGAAUUGUAGAUGAAAUAUUCUACAACCAACCCUCCUAGAUCAGCCAAACCCACUCGAAAGUAACAACUACUGCAGGAGCAAACCCCACCGCCCUAAACUAAAAGAAAAAACGCCGCACUAGACCCAUCUUCCCAGCAUUGUGCCCCUAUCACCCCAAGGCCACCGCGCCGCCACACCCUCCCCUCCCCAUCACACCUCAUCGCCAUAGUUUUGCAUCAGCCCUAUCUACCCUCCAAUCCAAUCCACCUUCCCGUGCAGCCACAUAGGAACCGCGCCGCCGCCACACCUAGCCUCGACCAGCCACCCCGCGCCGCCACCUUCUCCUCGGUCAAAGGCAGCCAACGAUGUUCGUCUACGGCACUGCUUCAGCUAGAGGAGGUCUUCCACCUUGGUACGGUCAGAAAGGUCCAUUAGGCGAGUCCCCCUCCUCUGCUCUCCUCGGCAGGCUGGUGAUCAUCAAGCACACGGACGCCCAUGCACAACUUUUAAAUUCGCUCCACACACGAUGACGUCCCCUAACUGAUGUCCAUGGCCACAGCUAGCAGGGCGGAGUGUGGAGCAGGAUCACUCUCCUACCACAUGUUGCAACACCCACCAUCUACAAUGAGAAUGCUCCGCAGAUUGUCGAUGUUUGAUUUUCUAUCCCUGUUUAUUUUUGUGUAGUUUCUGCUUUGCGAGAAGUUCGCAUAUUUUGUUGCAGGAGGUCUGCUAGUUGCCUCGUGAUGGUUCAUUUUUUGCCAAGCCAAUUUGCUGGUUCACCUCCAAGGCUCCACCCCCAUCCCGCGGCAGUUGACACGUGGACAGUUAGUUCUCAACCCUGUCGUCAUAUCAUUAGCGACAUUCCACACAUUUGGAAAUAAAAACAUUCGUCAAAGAGUUGCAAAAAUUAGUGAUAUAGAUGAGAAGUUAAUUUCUCCGCUUGUGGGAAGCUUGUCGUUUGUCAAGAAGUUCACUUCCUCACACAAGGAGUACUUAUGAAUCGGGAAGUUCUGUUCGUUCGUUCGGGAAGUUCACAAAAAUGUUGGGAAAAAUAUUUUUUGUUCGGCAAUUCACGUUGUUCAUGCUGAAGUUGGCCUUAUACUAUGUGAGAAGUUAGUUAACUUUCGGCAAUCUAGUUAUUCGUAGGGACAGUUCACAUGUUCAUUGGGGGUUCGCCCAAAAAUAACACUCGAAUCUAACCAUUUUUUAAACUUCUCUUAAAUCACAAGGAAUUUGAAUGAAGUGUUCCAUACAAAAAGAAAAGUUACAUCUAGUAAAUAUCUUUCCAACGGUAUUUUGUUUGCAUCAUUUCGAUAAGUGGUUUGAACAUUUUGAUAAAAAUGCGCUCCAUGUCAUUUGAUAUGAAUUGCACAAUUUUUAGAACUGCUCUUGAACCUUAAAUUUUGAAAAAUAUGCUGCAUGAAAAAGUUGCGCCUAAUCAAUAUCUUUCUAACGGUAUUCACUUGCAUAAUUCCAAAAUAUGGUUUGAAAAUUUCUUGUGAAACAGAAACAAAGGGCUGGUUGUACAACAACCAGUUGUAUAUAGAUGGAAUGGUUUGUGGGAAUGACAUAAAUGAUAUAACAUUGGGAAUAAAUCGAUUAGGCGCAAUUUUCAUGUAGAAUGUUUUUUCAAAUUCGUUACGGCCUAAUAGCAGUUUGAAAACUGUGUCAUGCCACUAAACUGUGUGCCUCACAUCGCUAUUGUUGCCUCCCUUUGCGCCAUGCAGGUUCCGCUCCGCAUAUGGAUGAGGUGAGAUGGAUGAUGGCAUAUGCUGGUUCGGUGGGUUUCUAGUUGUAGAGUAUGUCUAAAGAAUGGUUGUAGAAUAUAUCCAGCCCAUCUAUAUAUAAUAGUUACGGUAACGAUUCUUAGUAAUUUAAGACAUAAAUACCCACUAUAUAUAGCAGUAUAUAUGUUUUAGAUAAUAAUACGCCAAUUGUAAGUAAUUCAAAACAUAGUAACGAUCGAAGUGAAUGGACCGUCGCCAACCCAGAUCCUAUUAUAAGAUUGAAGGUGUGAUUCUGCUGAAAAUACUUACAGUGUGAUUCUGCUGAAAACAGGGGUGAAUUUUCCAUCCAUAUUUAAAAUCCUGUUCUCUUCAAUCUUGUUCUUUUCACCAUGCUUGAGCCAUCCAUUUAAGGUACCAUCAAA